rnacentral:rRNA from 1 species
GAUCAUGGCUCAGGAUGAACGCUAGCUACAGGCUUAACACAUGCAAGUCGAGGGGCAGCGGGAUUGAAGCUUGCUUCAAUUGCCGGCGACCGGCGCACGGGUGAGUAACACGUAUCCAACCUGCCGAUAACUCGGGGAUAACUCUUCGAAAGAAGGCCUAAUACCCGAUGGCAUAUCCCUUCCGCCUGGUGGGGAUAUUAAAGAACUUCGGUUAUCGAUGGGGAUGCGUUCCAUUAGCUUGUUGG